ensembl:lncRNA
CAGCGCAAGGAAUGGGACAUACAGCCAGACUGGAGCUACAGACAGGACUCCCAUUAUCAGGCAUCAAACAAGGUGUCGCCCAUCUUCCCCACUUAUCCCCUGGGUAUAUAUACCUGUGUUUUCUGUUUUCAUCGUGUUUGCAAAGUCAACCAGUGUUUUUCUCUCAGCUCCUGUUUUUCCCAGUCUCUCUUUUUCUCAUCCUCCUGGUUUUGACCCUUGCCUGUCCUGACUCUGAGCCCUCCUGCCUGACCACUCUGCCUGCCCCUGACCUUGUGCCUGCCUGCCGCCCUGUACCGUUUUGGACUCUGCUCUGGCUAUGAACUCUUGCCUGUCCCCAACCUGCCUUUUGUCUAUCCCUUGGAUUAUAAUAAAUACCAGAGCUCAAACCAUCUGCCUCCUGUGUCUGCAUAUGGGUCUCGC